CCUACGGGUGGCUGCAGUGGGGGAUAUUGCACAAUGGGGGAAACCCUGAUGCAGCGACGCCGCGUGUGGGAAGACGGUCCUCUGGAUUGUAAACCACUGUCCCCAGGGACGAAGAUGACGGUACCUUGGGAGGAAGCUCCGGCUAACUACGUGCGAGCAGCCGCGGUAAUACGUAGGGAGCGAGCGUUUUCCGGAAUUACUGGGUGUAAAGGGAGCGUAGGCGGGUCUGCAAGUUGGGGGUAAAAUCUACCGGCUCAACCGGUAGCCGCACUCAAAACUGCAGUUCUUGAGUGAAGUAGAGGCAGGCGGAAUGCGUGGUGUAGCGGUGAAAUGCGUAGAUAUUAGGAGGAACCCCAGUGGCGAAGGCGGCCUGCUGGGCUUUUACUGACGCUGAGGCUCGAAAGUGUGGGGAGCAAACAGGAUUAGAUACCCGGGUAGUC
rnacentral:rRNA from 1 species